UCCAACUAAUUGUACGUUUCCUAUGAUCUUUUCUCUUUCAUCUAUUUGUUGGUAUUACUUUAUCUGUAUUCUUUGAUUGAAUUUGCUUUGUUUUUGCGGCGGCUCCAUAACUUAAAAUUGUUGGUUUUUUCAAAGUGUAAGCUCCAAAACAAUGGAUCUGAAAAUGUUUUAAUUUAUCAAUGCGUUUUCUGAUUCUUGGGUUUCACUUUUUCUGUAUUCGGACCCAAAUUUGGCUAUGUGAACACAAAGAUCUGGGCACAGAAGAAAUAUUAAUUGUUCAAGAGUUCAUGGUGUUCUCUUUGUGCUUAUGGAUUCUUAUGUUGAUCUAGAGUACAAAAAAUAGAGAGCUAAAAACUCUAGCAUUUUCGUGGAUUUGGAUGUCAUUUGCAAAUAGAUCGAUCAUCAAUAAUUGGAGAUGCAAUCUAUUAUCUCAACGAACUUUUACAAAGGAUCAAUGAUCUUCACAACGAACUUGAGUCAACUCCACUUGGAUCUUUGCCUCAAGGUUCAACAAGCUUCCAUCCAUUAACACCUACACCUGAUACUCUUUCUUGCCGUGUGAAGAAAGAGUUAUGUCCCUCAUCUUAGCCAAGCCCUAAAGGCCAACAAGCAAGAGUUGAGGUUAGACUAAGGGAAGGAAGAACAGUGAAAAUUCGCGUGAUUUGUUGUCAUAGACCUUGUCAUUUGUUAGCAACCGUGAAAACCUGAAUAAUCUUGGAUUUGGAUGAUCAGCAAGCGGUGAUUAGCUGCUCAAACCGGUUUGCCACGCUGAGGUAAGAUUAUCUCACGGUGCCACAUCACCUCUCUUUAAUGUGCUUCUCGCCCUUUUUACUGUGAUUAAUGGGAUUUUUGCUAGGUUCAUUGGAAAAAAUCCAAGCGCCAUUGAAGUCAAAUUGUCUUCUUGGAGGCUACGAUCCUCGCCAUAGAGAGCCUUCUUACAGCUUCUGUUAGAACUGAAUAUGAAAGUGAAAACAAUGUAAAUGCUGUUCAAAACCCGUCGAGCAGAAGAUCCAGACCACAAAUCUAACAAGGCCGUAAAGCCAGACCAGCCUCCACCAUUUGUCAAGGAAUUUGUGUCUAGAAAGAGGAGAGAAGCCAGCAACAAAGGAAGAAGAAGAAUAAGAAUAAGAGAAGCUAUCUAAGUUAACCAAAGAAAAAGAAGUUGAUUAAGAAAGAAGAGGAGAAGAGAAAACAAAAGACUAUGCAGAGAUGAAGUAGCAGCAUCAGUUGGAGGAGGAGAUAGCAAAAGCGAAAGAGGCAAAAGAGAGGAAGAAGAAGAGAGAAGAAAAGGAGAAGUCACCUAUUAAGGCUCAGAAUGAAGCUAAAAAAUAAGAGAAGGUAAAUUUUCCUUUUUCACAAUAAAUUGAAGUCUUUCUCGCAAGUAUGUUCAUGUUGGGACAAAGGAAGAUUGAAAGACUCCAAGCAUGUCAUUGAUCUGAUGAAAAAAACUCUAUUGUUCAACGGUGAAGGUACUGUGAAGAAGUCAUAUAUGGACUAAAGGGAACGAACCAGUUCUUUUCAUCUUAUUUUGUUUUAUUUUUUUCCUGAUUUUUUAUUUGUGUUCUUUUUUCUUGAGUUCCUUUGAUAAUUCUUGAUAGUGUAUUACAUAGAUUUGAUAGUGAUAUAAACAAUGUAAUGGGGUUUAGUAUCCAUUAUCUUCUUUUGUU